UAAGAGCAUCAGGAGUGGGACUUGUUCCCCGCCAACCUGCUUACCGAAGCAAGGUGGUUAGAGUAUGUGGCCUAAACGGCAACCAAAUCGGACUCU
rnacentral:ncRNA from 10 species